UACAGAGGUCUCAAGCGUUGUUCGGAUUCAUUGGGCGUAAAGGGUGUGUAGGUGGCGCGCUAAGUCGGGUGUGAAAUUUCGGAGCUUAACUCCGAAACUGCAUUCGAUACUGGCGUGCUUGAGGACUGGAGAGGAGACUGGAAUUCAUGGUGUAGCAGUGAAAUGCGUAGAGAUCAUGAGGAAGACCAGUGGCGAAGGCGGGUCUCUGGGCAGUAACUGACGCUGAGGAGCGAAAGCCAGGGGAGCAAACGGG
rnacentral:rRNA from 1 species